GAAACGACUCCUAAGACUCGAUAGGAAGAUAAAAGGCAUCUAUUAUCUUUUAAAAGACCUAGUAAUAGGUAUGCUUUAGGAGGGGCUUGCGCCAUAUUAGUUAGUUGGUAGGGUAAUGGCCUACCAAGACGAUGAUGUGUAGCUGGACUGAGAGGUUGAACAGCCACAUUGGGACUGAGACACGGCCCAAACUCCUACGGGAGGCAGCAGUAGGGAAUUUUCGGCAAUGGAGGAAACUCUGACCGAGCAACGCCGCGUGAAUGACGAAGUACUUCGGUAUGUAAAGUUCUUUUAUCAAGGAAGAAAAGCAAAUGGCGAACCAUUUGUUUGCCGGUACUUGAUGAAUAAGCCCCGGCUAAUUAUGUGCCAGCAGCCGCGGUAAGACAUAAGGGGCAAGUGUUAUCCGGAAUUAUUGGGCGUAAAGGGUGCGUAGGCGGUCUAGUAAGUCUGUGGUGUAUUGGCAACGCUUAACGUUGUCCGGCUAUUGAAACUGCUAAACUUGAGUUAGAUAGAGGCGAGUGGAAUUUCCAUGUGUAGCGGUAAAAUGCGUAAAAUAUAUGGAGGAACACCAGAGGCGUAGGCGGCUCGCUGGGUCUUAACUGACGCUGAGGCACGAAAGCGUGGGGAGCAAACAGGAUUAGAUACCCUGGUAGUCCACGCCGUAAACGAUGAGUACUAAGUGUCGGGUUAAACCGGUACUGAAGUUAACACAUUAAGUACUCCGCCUGAGUAGUACGUACGCAAGUAUGAAACUUAAAGGAAUUGACGGGACUCCGCACAAGCGGUGGAUCAUGUUGUUUAAUUCGAAGAUACCCGAAAAACCUUACGAGGUCUUGACAUGUUUUUGCAAAAUGAUAGUAAUAUCGUGGAGGUUACCAGAAACACAGGUGGUGCAUGGUUGUCGUCAGCUCGUGUCGUGAGAUGUUAGGUUAAGUCCUAAAACGAGCGAAACCGUUAUCGUUAGUUGCCAGCACGUUAUGGUGGGGACUUUAACGAGACUGCCAAUGAUAAAUUGGAGGAAGGUGAGGAUCACGUCAAAUCAGCAUGCGCCUUAUGACCUGGCCUACAAACGUGAUACAAUGGCUGUUACAAAGGGUAGCUGAAACGCAAGUUCUUGGCCAAUCCCCAAAAACAGUCCCAGUCCGGAUUGAAGUCUGCAACUCGACUUCAUGAAGUUGGAAUCGCUAGUAAUCGCGAAUCAGCAUGUCGCGGUGAAUACGUUCUCGGGUUUGUACACACCGCCCGUCA
rnacentral:rRNA from 1 species